rnacentral:rRNA from 1 species
CCCUUAGAUGUCCUGGGCCGCACGCGCGCUACACUGAUGCAUACAACGAGUUUAUAACCUUGGCCUGAAAGGUCUGGGUAAUCUUUUGAACGUGCAUCGUGAUGGGGAUAGAUUAUUGCAAUUGUUAAUCUUGAACGAGGAAUUCCUAGUAAAUGCGAGUCAUCAUCUCGCGUUGAUUACGUCCCUGCCCUUUGUACACACCGCCCGUCGCACCUACCGAUUGAAUGGUCCGGUGAAGCCUCCGGAUUGCGCGGCUUCGGCUGUCGCGAGAAGUUGGCUAAACCUUACCAUUUAGAGGAAGGUGAAGUCGUAACA